GAUGAACGCUGGCGGCGUGCCUAAUACAUGCAAGUCGAGCGAACAGAUGAGGAGCUUGCUCCUCUGACGUUAGCGGCGGACGGGUGAGUAACACGUGGAUAACCUACCUUUAAGACUGGGAUAACUUCGGGAAACCGGAGCUAAUACCGGAUAAUAUAUUGAACCGCAUGGUUCAAUAGUGAAAGACGGUUUUGCUGUCACUUAUAGAUGGAUCCGCGCCGCAUUAGCUAGUUGGUAAGGUAACGGCUUACCAAGGCAACGAUGCGUAGCCGACCUGAGAGGGUGAUCGGCCACACUGGAACUGAGACACGGUCCAGACUCCUACGGGAGGCAGCAGUAGGGAAUCUUCCGCAAUGGGCGAAAGCUUGACGGAGCAACGCCGCGUGAGUGAUGAAGGUCUUCGGAUCGUAAAACUCUGUUAUUAGGGAAGAACAAAUGUGUAAGUAACUAUGCACGUCUUGACGGUACCUAAUCAGAAAGCCACGGCUAACUACGUG
rnacentral:rRNA from 1 species